GAUGAACGCUGGCGGCGUGCCUAAUACAUGCAAGUCGAGCGAACAGACGAGGAGCUUGCUCCUCUGACGUUAGCGGCGGACGGGGGAGUAACACGUGGAUAACCUACCUAUAAGACUGGGAUAACUUCGGGAAACCGGAGCUAAUACCGGAUAAUAUAUUGAACCGCAUGGUUCAAUAGUGAAAGACGGUUUUGCUGUCACUUAUAGAUGGAUCCGCGCCGCAUUAGCUAGUUGGUAAGGUAACGGCUUACCAAGGCAACGAUGCGUAGCCGACCUGAGAGGGUGAUCGGCCACACUGGAACUGAGACACGGUCCAGACUCCUAAGGGAGGCAGCAGUAGGGAAUCUUCCGCAAUGGGCGAAAGCCUGACGGAGCAACGCCGCGUGAGUGAUGAAGGUCUUCGGAUCGUAAAACUCUGUUAUUAGGGAAGAACAAAUGUGUAAGUAACUAUGCACGUCUUGACGGUACCUAAUCAGAAAGCCACGGCUAACUACGUG
rnacentral:rRNA from 1 species